UGGGUCCUGACAUCAGCCUAGCCCAGCCUAAGCCAUUAUGGCCAUUUGGAAAGUAAAAUAGUGGAUGGAAGAUUGUUUCCCCACCCAUACCACUACUGUCACUCCACAAAUCAUCAUCAUCAUCAUCUAAGCAAAAAUCCUGACAUAAAAAUGAAUUUCCCCAGGUUUGAGAGCCUCUAGAUUCAACUCCCUAAAGGCUCAGGACAGCAAAGUAGCUACGUUGAACAUCAAAACAGAAGGAAAUGAACCCUUAGACAAGACAGCACAUGUCAUCAGACACCAUUAGACCGGGCUCCAGGACCUGCGUACUCGC